AUCAAAGAUAGGACUACCAUCCAAUUGUUUGUUUAUUUAUUUAAUUACUCAAAACACACAUUUUACCCAUACUGGUUUUUCACUUCGGGUAUUUUCUGUUACAGUCAUUACUCAUUUAAGGGUCUCAGCAGGCGAAAAUCAUGAGUAACUGCACAGGCUCUCUAUGCUACUGUGGAAUAGAGAUGGGAAAAUGGCUCUCAGGUAGUGUGUGUGUAUGGACUCUAUUGGUAAAUACUAGAAUAGCCUGUGUGUGUGUGUGUGUGUGUGUGUGUGUGUGUGUGUGUGUGUGUGCGUGCGUGCAUGCACGUGUCUGCGUGUGCGCGGGUGUCUGCUCUCAUAAGUCUUGUGGUAUAUCAUUAGAGUCACAGUACCCUGAGUGAAUGGUUCUAGAUAGGUAGAUGGGAACAUUGUGGUGUUUGCAAAGAAUUCUGUGCUAAAGGGAACCAGUACAUGAACAUUUAAAAUCAACAUCUAGUCACAAUACAGAUACGAUGUGACUAGAAGUACUUCUGAGCCUGGAGAAACUCAAUUUCUGAGAAAUUGGUGGCUAACCCUAGGGCCAAUCUAUCAACUAAUCAAUAAACCAAUCAAUGAAUUAAAGGGUACUAUGUGUUUGUUACAGGGCUUGAUAUGUGAGAGCAACACACUGGAGACUCCACACUGUAAGCGUGUAAGCCCAGCACCUUAUUACUUUCACAUAUCCAGUCCAGUCCAAUUCAAUGUGUCAGUGCGUGUGCCUGUGUGUCGUACAUGAGCAUGUGUGUGUGUGUGUGUGUGUGUGUAGGUGUGUAUAUGUCUUGUGUGUAUUUGGGCAUUUGAAAAAAACAUAUUCGAUUAAACGUCCAGUUAACCAGUCAGAUUAUCCUUGGGGAGAGUCCCUGGCACCUUGACCUCUGCAGCAGAGGUCAAUCCUAAAGGUUGAAGGCAGAAGGGGAGGGGCCACACACAAUGGCUGUUUCACCCUGAGAGCCAUUCCUCCUCUUAACCACCCAUCCUGUUCAGCAGUUCUCUGCCUGCCUUUCUCCGUCUUUUCUCUCCAUUUCUCUCCUCUUUAUUGGAAAUUGAUUGUCUUCUACCAUCACAAUGACACUUGGUUCUGAUUGAUUGGCAGGUAAGGGAAGAGGGAGAGAACAUUUUGUACUAGGGCUGAGAGAGCGCUGGGACUCUCCUGCACUCCGGAGCAAAAAUGGAUGCCUUACAUUAUAUACAUGAGCCUACUUCAGUAGCCUGAGUGCCAGUCUGUUUCUGCAUUAGCCAACACUUUUAUCUUAGCUUUGGUGAAUGCAAAAACAGUCAGGCAGCCAGGGCACUACUUCAGGACAGUGCUAGUUUGAGAGAUACACACAGGUGCCUUCAAUUCAACAACAUGAAACAAGCAGUGAAUACACAUGAAAUAAUACAGAGAAAAGACCAAAAGAUCCCCAUCAUCCCUCACUAGCACACAUCAGGACAGGGUUACAAACACAACAACAGACACAACAGACCAGGAAGAAAGACAGAGUCGGGGAGGAGGAGACAACACAUACAGUACAUACACACAACACAUACACAACCAGCACAAACAAAAUAACAUCUGAAAGGAAAGAAAGCAUCACAUGGCAUCACCCCUUUUCUUAACUUCUCUUUUCCAGCCCCAGUCGUUCUUUCCUUUUCUCGCCCUCUCCUUUACCCGGGAGUACAUUUCAUCCUGCAGUUUCUAUACAGCUAUAUAAUAUCCAUGCAUAUAAGAAUCGCUCGCGUCGCCCCUGACAACAGAGGUGCUCUGGUGGGUUGGUUCUCUGUUUAAUAUGGGGAUCACUUGAACACACACAGGAGGCAGUUGGCUAACAAAGCUGUAGUUUUUAAGAAAAUAAAUAUGAAAAGAAAAAAAGGAACACUAUUUGUCCACAAUGUGUUAUCGUUGGUUUUCAAAUUAACAUUUUUUUUUUUUUACUAUCCUGUAUUUUUUUCCAUUCUUUAGUCCUAUACCCUGAUGUUACCCUACAUACUGGAAGUUACCUAUACACCUCCACCCUAGAUUUCUUACAACCUACCACCCUUCCCCUCACACCAUUCUUUAUGCGCUAGAACACUUUCACCAUCCUUCCCCUAUGGCCUUAAACCCACCCUACCUCCCUUAUUCUUGACCCUACAACUCUUACACCCUACACUUCCCCUCUACCCAUAAUCCUAUCUUCUUACACCAUACCGCCCUCACAGCUUACCUCCUUUCCCCUCUGCCCUACAGCCCUACCACAUUACUUCACCGAUUCUUUCCACAACUCGUCAGCUUUUACCUUCUAUCUUUCCCACAUUCUUCUUUACCCAUCCCAUUACUUUUAGCUACAGUCAGUCUCCCUCAUCACAGGAUACAGAGGAAUAAAUCAAUAAAUCAACAAAACGUAUCAAACAGUAAAAAGGCUUCUAGUACAUAUUCUCCAUGAAUAAAAACAAUUAUUUUAGCAGUGACUCAUGACUCUCAUUGCUAAUAACGUUGUUAUUGUUUCACUACGUAACCUUUAUAUUAAAGAUUUGAGGUAUAUUGGGAUGAAAUGUCUACACAUGCCUGCCUAGUUGUCAAGCUAGCCGGGACAGGGGAUAGGUGAAGAGGGUUAGAGCCGGGACAGGGGAUAUGUGAAGAGGGUUAGAGCCGGGACAGGGGAUAGGUGAAGAGGGUUAGAGCCGGGACAGGGGAUAGGUGAAGAGGGUUAGAGCCGGGACAGGGGAUAUGUGAAGAGGGUUAGAGCCGGGACAGGGGAUAGGUGAAGAGGGUUAGAGCCGGGACAGGGGAAUGUGAAGAGGGUUAGAGCCGGGACAGGGGAUAUGUGAAGAGGGUUAGAGCCGGGACAGGGGAUAGGUGAAGAGGGUUAGAGUGGAGUGCGGUGGAACACUGUAUGUUUUUGGGGAUAGCUGAUUGGCCAUUGAUUUACCCCAAUGCUAGCCAGUUAAAGAGAGAUAUCUGAGGGUGUGGUUUUGAAUCACAGAAAGUGCAGACCCAUCACGUGGCACACUCACACUCCCGCUAUAAAUUACAUAAAAAUAUCUCUGGUAGGAGUGUGUGUGUGACAAAAUACAGACACACCUCAAUACCUGGGGCACAUUAACAUCCGACUGCAAGCACACAUACACACUUGCACGCACUGGCACUCACACACACACACACACAAACACGUGCACAAACACAGGCUCUCUGUUGAUCAAACCAACACCACCCAUGUCAAAUAUGUCAAAUGUGUCUCAUUCAAUGACCCAUGUGAUCAUUUGGUUAAGGUAAGAAUUAAUAAAUAAUAGGAGUAAUAAAAUGUACAAAACAAAGUGCUUUUUGAAUUCCAAUGGGAGUUGAUUCUAAGCUUGUGUAUACCGUUCCAUCCUGUAUGUGCCCCCUACACCUUGGCAUGCGUUUAAUGAGGUGUGUGUCUGUGCACAUUUGUACUUCUGUGCAUGUCUGUUUGUGCAUGUGUGUGUUCAGAGCAGUCCAACCCGUGGUUGAAGGAAAAAGGCACUCAACUCUGUCUGCAUAGCUACCACCUCCCUGUGGUCAAUAUACAGUGCAACUGCUCUGUGUGCGGGUUUAUGAUUUACAGUGUGUGUGUGUGUGUGUGUGUGUGUGUGUGUGUGUGUGUGUGUGUGUGUGUGUGUGUG
rnacentral:lncRNA from 1 species